rnacentral:rRNA from 1 species
GGAAUUGUUCGCAAUGGGCGAAAGCCUGACGACGCAACGCCGCGUGGAGGAUGAAGGCCUUCGGGUCGUAAACUCCUUUCGAUCGAGAAGAAUUCCCUUGGGACUAAUAAUUCCGAGGGUUGCCGGUACCGAGAGACGAAGCCCCGGCUAACUCCGUGCCAGCAGCCGCGGUAAUACGGGGGGGGCAAGCGUUGUUGGGAAUUACUGGGCGGAAAGGGCUCGUAGGCGGCCAACUAAGGCGGACGUGAAAUCCCUCGGCUCAACCGAGGAACUGCGUCCGAUACUGGAUGGCUUGAGUCCGGGAGAGGGAUGCGGAAUUCCAGGUGUAGCGGUGAAAUGCGUAGAUAUCUGGAGGAACACCGGUGGCGAAGGCGGCAUCCUGGACCGGCACUGACGCUGAGGAGCGAAAGCCAGGGGAGCAAA